GUAACAUUUCUAGCUUGCUAGAAGAUGACGAGUGGCGGACGGGUGAGUAAUGCUUGGGAACUUGCCUUUGCGAGGGGGAUAACAGUUGGAAACGACUGCUAAUACCGCAUAAUGUCUUCGGACCAAACGGGGCUUAGGCUCCGGCGCAAAGAGAGGCCCAAGUGAGAUUAGCUAGUUGGUAAGGUAACGGCUUACCAAGGCGACGAUCUCUAGCUGUUCUGAGAGGAAGAUCAGCCACACUGGGACUGAGACACGGCCCAGACUCCUACGGGAGGCAGCAGUGGGGAAUAUUGCACAAUGGGGGAAACCCUGAUGCAGCCAUGCCACGUGUGUGAAGAAGGCCUUCGGGUUGUAAAGCACUUUCAGUUGUGAGGAAAAGUUAGUAGUUAAUACCUGCUAGCCGUGACGUUAACAACAGAAGAAGCACCGGCUAACUCCGUGCCAGCAGCCGCGGUAAUACGGAGGGUGCGAGCGUUAAUCGGAAUUACUGGGCGUAAAGCGCACGCAGGCGGUUUGUUAAGCUAGAUGUGAAAGCCCCGGGCUCAACCUGGGAUGGUCAUUUAGAACUGGCAGACUAGAGUCUUGGAGAGGGGAGUGGAAUUCCAGGUGUAGCGGUGAAAUGCGUAGAUAUCUGGAGGAACAUCAGUGGCGAAGGCGACUCCCUGGCCAAAGACUGACGCUCAUGUACAAAGUGUGGGUAGCGAACAGGAUUAGAUACCCUGGUAGUCCACACCGAAACGCUGUCUACUAGCUGUGUGUGUCUUUAAGACGUGCGUAGCGAAGCUAACGCGCUAAGUAGACCGCCUGGGGGAGUACGGCGCAAGGUUAAAACUCAAAAUGAAUUGACGGGGGCCCGCACAAGCGGUGGAGCAUGUGGUUUAAUUCGAUGCAACGCGAAGAACCUUACCUACACUUGACAUGCUGA
rnacentral:rRNA from 1 species